ACCCCUCUGCUCGACAAGAUUUUGACAUAUGACUUUACCGUUGAUUCGGCGGGAAUUUUGAAUCGCGACAUGGAAGUCAAAAAUUUGUACUAACUUUCAACACCUGAAUUCUAAGUCCGUAAUGCCUGAUCAGAAGUAUUUUAACUAUAACUUUAGAGCUCACUUAUUUGACAACAACGUGCAAAGGUCAAAUGGGGUCAGUUAAUUCAGAAAAAGAUAAUAAUUACGGUGUUUUUAAGUCUAUCGAAAAGUUAGGCAUUUCAAAUUUGGUGAAAACUUACCAAUAAAUAAUCGCAUCACUUUCUCAAACACAACACAAACGUCAUAUUUGUAACAUUUUCAAUCCGUUGCAAUACAUUUCGUGCACUUAUUUAUGUUCAACAACUAAAAAAUCAGCACAUAAAAUACACAAUAAAAAUGAACAAUUUACAAGAUCAAAAAGAAGUAGAGUUUGGAAUGGAGUAUUUUUUUUUUUCAAUCAGCGGUGUGCAUUCGAUACCUAAAUCGGAUAUUUAUUAUAAAUAAUCGAAUACCAAUUUUAUAUAUACCUAUUUUUUAAUAGCAACUUAUUUCAAUUUUAUUUAUUAAUUUGAAAUUAUAGGUUCAAUUUGUUGUUGUUGUUAAGAAAAAAGAUAUUUAAGUUUUAUGAAAGUUUUUAGCAUUAAAUUUUUAUAUGUAUUAUUUAUUUUGGUGUUGCGUCAUUCGUAAUAAUGUUUAACUUUAAUUGAAUUUUUAUUACCUAUUACGGAAUUUUAAUUUAUUCUUAUAUUAUUUCUCAACAAUUCUAAGAUUUUUGUUUCGGCGGAGGGUAAGCCUGGCGUUCUGAAAUAUAUUGCAAUUUGUAACUACCAAAGUAAUGUACUUAUUUGAUGAUGAGAAACAAUAAUAAUAAUUGAUUAAUUUUAAAGUCACCAAAUAUUUUUAACCGAAUCCCAAAAAGGAGGUGGUUCUCAAUUUGGAUGUUUGUUUUUGGUCGAAGGGCUAUAUUCCCCAUAUUUGUUAUUAGAUCCUGACCUGAUGAUAAUGGGACCACCUCGGAAGUAUACGCUAUCAAACAAAAAAAGAAUCAUCAAAAUCGAUAAAUAAAUGGCUGAGUAAUCGCGUAACAAACAUAC
rnacentral:lncRNA from 1 species